rnacentral:rRNA from 1 species
GACAGAGCGGAGGUAUCCGGGGAGACAGGUGGUGCAUGGUUGUCGUCAGCUCGUGUCGUGAGAUGUUGGGUUAAGUCCCGCAACGAGCGCAACCCUUAUUGCUAGUUACCAUCAUUGAGUUGGGGACUCUAGCGAGACUGCCAGCGAUAAGCUGGAGGAAGGUGGGGAUGACGUCAAAUCAUCAUGCCCCUUAUGACCUGGGCUACAAACGUGAUACAAUGGCUGGAACAAAGGGAGGCGAAGGGGUGACCUGGAGCGAAACCCAAAAAUACAGUCUCAGUUCGGAUUGAAGUCUGCAACUCGACUUCAUGAAGUCGGAAUCGCUAGUAAUCGCGGAUCAGAGCGCCGCGGUGAAUACGUUCUCGGGGUUU